UUGAGCUAGGAAUCCUAUGGAAGCGGCUGGUAAAGAUGCACUCUUUCUUGAGGGGUACGAGCAGAGGCGAUACCACUUUGUGUCAGCAUGCACCCUGCAGUCCUGGUCUCUGGAGCUGUGCAAGGUGUGUGCUCAGCACCACUGUGGGCACACGGAGGGGCUCAGGGUCAGACGGUCUCACCACUGAUCGUGCAUAAUCAUUUGUGCCAAAGAUUAGGAAUGAUAACUGUCUCAUUUGCACAUGGAAAGACACGGAGGUGGAUACUUGCACACAAAUAAGUAGCUGGUGAUGGUGCUGGUUACAAGUGAUCAUGUACUGAAGACUGCUGCCAGAAAAUUCAGAGCUCUUUUUGGAAAAGGUGACUCGAAGCACAGGGAUGGAAGAACAAUGGUGUGCACCAGCAGUUAAGAACAACAGCUUCUGCUCCCUUGUACUCCGUACAAAACAGCAGCAUCAGCCCCGCAGCCUGUCUACAUGCCGAAGGUCCGUGCCUGCUCCUGAGAGUUACCUGAUGAAUAACUCCAUUUUCCAGCUGCUCAGUGAACAGCUCUCCACCUCCAUCGCUCUUCUUGAUUCUCCAAGGCAGGCUCCAGAAUAAAGUGAUCUCCUCCUAAGUGUCCGUUCCUCACCUUUCCGCAUGGCAGUUACCUGUGGGCUGACUCCUGAUGUUCCUUCUUGGGGCCAAAGCUGGGGACCAGCCUGUGCAGCGAGGCACCUAUCCUGCAGCUUGGGGUGGCGGCUGGGUAGCGGCGUGCUCUGCAGACUACUGCAAUGCCCCAACCUUACCCUGCGAGGCAUGCAGAUAGCCAAGACACCCACGAUGAAGUCGCCAGAGCCCUGGGAAGGCAUCAGAGCCCACCAUCGCUGUGACCAUCAAUAAACCUUCAUGAAUUAACCUGUUGAGAGGAGGGAAGGGAGAAUCUUACAUUGCAGCUGUAAGAUUAAAUGCUGCUGUUGAACCCUGGACAAUUUCCUGCCACUAAUCUUUUGGUCUGACUAAUAUAGCUAGAUAUAUUACUCAAACCUUUCAGUGAUGGAAAUCAUACCUGGAUCUGGUAAGCAGAGAGAAACCAGCUGGCAUCCUCUCCUGGUCACAGAAGAAGCGUGGAGAAGCCGUGUCAUUGCCCUGGGUCUGGCUGGCUUAGAGAUGGUGCUUUCAGCUACAGGCUGUGAGCCUUGAUCUCUUGCUGCACCAGUGUUUCCAUCCUCCAAGAGCAGACCUAUAUCCAUGGAUAUGUGGCUGGGGAGAGUGCAGCCGGCCUGCAGUGGCUAAACCUUUUAAUUCUACCUGGGGGAAUCUGAUUGAGCAAGGGAAAGGCAUAAGUCAUCCACGCCUGCUUCAGGGUGGCAGCUGCACUGGAGGGCUAUCUCACAAGGCGACCAACUCUGAAGAUGGGGGAAGUCCCGAGCCAGGAGAAGGUGUGCCGAGGAAGACAUGGUGGUUAAAGCACAAACGUUUCACUCAUACCUUAACUGGUGCUAUGUCCUGAAAUAGGAGGGCUGCAGUUUCCCAGUGCAGCGAUGACCUGACCCCGGGGAUGCUCUUGGUGGCAGGGCACCAGAGCUCGCACAGCACCCGGCGCUGAGCAGCAAGCAGAGCUGCCUCGCGACAUCACCGCUGCCAUGCUCUUCUGGGGAGCGCUGCGAAGACAAAGCUGGAGAGCACUCUGUCCUUGCUUAUGGGCUUCAAACUGCACCAUUAGGAACAAAGUACUAUGUCCUCAGUAACUACCCAUUUAGAUGUGCACAAAGUGGAGCAGCCAUCUACUAGGACUGUGUCUUGGAUUUUGCAGCCAGCAAGCAUUCAUAUGCGGGGCACAAGCUGCAGGUCCCCCUCCAGGGCAGGACACGUGUGCUGUCAGUGACCAUUGCUGCGGUCAGGAGCCAGGCCUGCCUACAGAGAGCCGGUCAUUUAAACAAGCGUCACUAGGUCCCGGGGGACCGCUGGAAAUGUGGGCUGUCCUUUUCCUGGCCACCCCAGAGAAGAUGAGGACUGGGACGUGUGCUGUGAUGCUGAAUGGAUGAGUUAACCUUGUGAAAAACGAUACGCUGACAGCCCAGUCAGAAGUGACGCUGACUUCAGGGAACUGUUGCUACUUUCUGUCAUGCCUUCAUUGCUUGCAAGGAGACAAAAGAUGCAAAUAGGACUACACACAAACCACAGAGGAACACAUUAAUAAUCCUACCACCACUCAGCACUGGUAAGAGCAUUUCCUCUUUAAGGCUACCGCAUCAUUUCUCCUAUGCUAUGAAGUAAUGAUCACAUACUUUUGUUGCAAAUCCACAUCCAAAUCCACACAUAUGUGGGCAUGCACAUUUGAGUGUGCCUCAAUACUGUGUGUAGUGGAUUUUCUCCUGAACUGAAAGCAAAGAAGCCUAGUAAUAUCUAAAUCAGAAUCAUUUACUGGCCCCAUUUCUUUCAGUAUGUUAAACUGCACUCCCAAAACUAGUCAUUGGAUUUAGACAGCAUUAAAUACUGAUAAAAAUACAAUGAAAACAUUUCUUCCGAAGUACCUAAAAACUUAGCAGAGGAUCUAAACUAUUAUAGUGGAAGAACAUCAUAAAAUCUGUGGAAUUCAAAAUGCAUAGAAAUUAAGGUCCGGAUUCAAUUUUCUCAGAUUUUCUUUCUUUAGGAGGAACAAAGAUCUUGACCUUUAUUCUUCAAAAAAAUGCACGCUACUGAAAUCAACAGACCUGUCCCUAUCUUUCAAAGGAGGUCAUCUAUAAAUGACACAGUAUAUUAAUGGAAGCUUUUUAAAUAAUUAAAAGUCCAAAGACCAUGUAAGAAAAAAUGAAAUGAAGCUAUAAGAAGCAAGCUGGAAAGGUUACCACCAACAAUAUCAACAAAAAAGCUGUAAGCUAAACCAGAAUGGCAAUAAAAUAAAAUAAAAUAAAAUAAAAUAAAAUAAAAUAGCAAAAUAUUGGGCCAAACCUAGCUAUCCAAACUCAGCAUGAACUGUUUACACUGUUAGUUUGCUAGAAUGGAAAGUGUGCUUUGUCCUUCCAAAGGAGCCAAUGGAGCACAGCGACCAACAGGACAUGGUCAAGGGGAACACGGCCCAUACAGGAUGCAACAUCUCAGGCUUUCCCUUUGAGCCCUGCUCUCAUGGACAAAGGUUUCUCAACGCACUUCACAUGGCUACACAUAGUAACUGCAGUCAAAGCGGGACAUUCUGCCUGCACGUUGUUAAAUACUUCACUUAAGACCUGCUGCAGCUCUUGACAUGGAGGUUAAGUGCUAUGUAAAUGCCUCACUCCAGCAGUUAGGACUUUGCUGUCCUCAGAUCUUGUACUGAUAGAGCUCCCAAAUGCUUGCUCCCUUUGCUUGCAUGCUCUCUUCACUGCUGAGCUAUGGAUAUUGCUCCAAACCUCCUGAAGCAUCGGACACAAAGGACAGCUUUGUCAGCUCUGGCAAUGUUUUAUGAAGCUUGGUGUCCUUCUUAAAGCCCAGCUACAGGAAUUGAGAGAUUACAUCAGGGUCUCAGCCUCUCACUAUUAAAAACAAAUAUGUCAUUUCUGGCCCUCAGCAUGCUUGAAAAAUGCCUGAAAGCAAGUCUUGAAAUCAGCUUCAAAGCUCAUUAUCUGUAAGGCAAUGAAGGAACCAAAAAAAAAUUAUAAAAUAAUAAAAAAAAGCCAUGAUUUGGAGCCAAUCUUGUAAUUUUUGGUGCUUGGUUCAUGACUUUGAAUGUCUGAAGUGGGCAGUGUUAAGAGCAGACAGCAAAUGCCCAAGCAAACACAUGCUGCUUCCCUGUGGAUCGAAACAAACAAACAAUCUUGUUUGAUUAACUCUGCUGGAAAUAAUAUUUUAAAGGGUAAAAUGAUUCCACAAAGAUGACAUGUUAGCAUUUGAAAUGAGAUGAAUGCAGUGCCUGUAAAAGUGCAAUAAUCCUUAAUAACUAACCCAAAAGAAGCAUCAUCCCCAGAGAUAAGAAGGUAAUUCACUCUCCAUAUUUAAUUUGUUUCUAAGCUGCUUUUGAAACAAGAUUGCUAAACAGUAAGUUGGCUUGGGAUCUAGGCCUGACUGCUGGACUUUCUGUAAUCGUGCCAUUGACUCGGCAUACAUUUCAACUAAGUCACAGGAUGCAAAAUCAGGUGGGCUAAUUCCUUAAGCUGCUUAAGCAAAAAAUUGUGAAUAUGAGGUAAAUUUGGAGAUAGGAGUCUGUUUACGGCAAGCAACAGGUGGAAGAUAACGUGCUGUCUUCAAAGAGUGACUGCAACUUAUUCUUUGAACAGUCUUGUGACUAAAGAUCGCAUUUCAAGCCAUAUCUAUUUUUCAUAAAUUCAUGGCAAUCUAGGGUUUCAGUCUACAUUAAAGGAAACAGUGAUGACAGCACACUUAAUUAGACUGAAUAGUUACCGAAUCUCAUCAGCAAGAUCUUGCAAAGGGAAUGGAAAACU